rnacentral:rRNA from 1 species
AGUGAACGCUGGCGGUAGGCCUAACACAUGCAAGUCGAAUGGCAGCACAGUAAGAGCUUGCUCUUACGGGUGGCGAGUGGCGGACGGGUGAGGAAUACAUCGGAAUCUACUUUUUCGUGGGGGAUAACGUAGGUAAACUUACGCUAAUACCGCAUACGACCUACGGGUGAAAGCAGGGGAUCUUCGGACCUUGCGCGAUUGAAUGAGCCGAUGUCGGAUUAGCUAGUUGGCGGGGUAAAGGCCCACCAAGGCGACGAUCCGUAGCUGGUCUGAGAGGAUGAUCAGCCACACUGGAACUGAGACACGGUCCAGACUCCUACGGGAGGCAGCAGUGGGGAAUAUUGGACAAUGGGCGCAAGCAUGAUCCAGCCAUACCGCGUGGGUGAAGAAGGCCUUCGGGUUGUAAAGACCUUUUGUUGGGAAAGAAAAGCAGCAGGUUAAUACCACGCUGUUCUGACGGUACCCAAAGAAUAAGCACCGGCUAACUUCGUG